GCGGUUCAAUCGGCCUUUUCGUAAAUAGAACGGCGGACCUAUAAUCCGCGGGUCGGAGGUUCGAAUCCUCCCGGGCGCA
rnacentral:tRNA from 1 species